rnacentral:rRNA from 1 species
AUUGAACGCUGGCGGCAGGCCUAACACAUGCAAGUCGAGCGGAUGAAGGGAGCUUGCUCCUGGAUUCAGCGGCGGACGGGUGAGUAAUGCCUAGGAAUCUGCCUGGUAGUGGGGGAUAACGUCCGGAAACGGGCGCUAAUACCGCAUACGUCCUGAGGGAGAAAGUGGGGGAUCUUCGGACCUCACGCUAUCAGAUGAGCCUAGGUCGGAUUAGCUAGUUGGUGGGGUAAAGGCCUACCAAGGCGACGAUCCGUAACUGGUCUGAGAGGAUGGUCAGUCACACUGGAACUGAGACACGGUCCAGACUCCUACGGGAGGCAGCAGUGGGGAAUAUUGGACAAUGGUGGAAAGCCUUAUCCAGCCAGGCCGCGUGUGUGAAGAAGGUCUUCGGAUUGUAAAGCACUUUAAGUGGGGAGGAAGGGCAGUAAGUUAAUACCUUGCUGUUUCGACGGUACCAACAGAAUAAGCACCGGCUAACUUCGUG